CUGAUAGCAAGCUGUACUUGUACAGUGAAGUGGCUGAUACCAUGCUUCCAGGAAAAGUCUCUAAGCUUCAGUUACAUAGGAAUCGUACCCGAAACCGACACAGGUGGUCAGGUCGAGUAGACCAAAGCGCUUGAGAGAACUCUGCUGAAGGAACUAGGCAAAAUGGUACCGUAACUUCGGGAGAAGGUACGCUGCCGACGGUGAUAGGAUUUACUCCUUGAGCUAUUGGCAGCCACAGAAACCAGGCCCCUGCAACUGUUUAUUAAAAACAUAGCACUCUGCAAACACGAAAGUGGACGUAUAGGGUGUGAUGCCUGCCCGGUGCUGGAAGGUUAAUUGAUGGGGUUAGCGUAAGCGAAGCUCUUGAUCGAAGCCCCAGUAAACGGCGGCCGUAACUAUAACGGUCCUAAGGUAGCGAAAUUCCUUGUCGGGUAAGUUCCGACCUGCACGAAUGGCAUAAUGAUGGGGGCGCUGUCUCCAGCAGAGACUCAGUGAAAUCGAAUUCGCCGUGAAGAUGCGGUGUACCCGCGGCUAGACGGAAAGACCCCGUGAACCUUUACUGCAGCUUGACAUUGAACUUUGAUCUUACUUGUGUAGGAUAGGUGGGAGGCUUUGAAACCGAGACGCUAGUUUCGGUGGAGCCAAUCUUGAAAUACCACCCUGGUAAUAUUGAGGUUCUAACUCUGCUCCAUUAUCUGGAGCGAGGACCAUGUCUGGUGGGUAGUUUGACUGGGGCGGUCUCCUCCUAAAGAGUAACGGAGGAGUACGAAGGUGCGCUCAGCGUGGUCGGAAAUCACGCGUAGAGUAUAAAGGCAAAAGCGCGCUUAACUGCGAGACCCACAAGUCGAGCAGGUACGAAAGUAGGUCUUAGUGAUCCGGUGGUUCUGUAUGGAAGGGCCAUCGCUCAACGGAUAAAAGGUACUCUGGGGAUAACAGGCUGAUACCGCCCAAGAGUUCAUAUCGACGGCGGUGUUUGGCACCUCGAUGUCGGCUCAUCUCAUCCUGGGGCUGAAGCAGGUCCCAAGGGUAUGGCUGUUCGCCAUUUAAAGAGGUACGCGAGCUGGGUUUAGAACGUCGUGAGACAGUUCGGUCCCUAUCUACCGUGGGCGUUGGAAAUUUGAGAGGAUCUGCUCCUAGUACGAGAGGACCAGAGUGGACGAACCUCUGGUGUACCGGUUGUGACGCCAGUCGCAUCGCCGGGUAGCUAUGUUCGGAAGGGAUAACCGCUGAAAGCAUCUAAGCGGGAAGCCUACCUCAAGAUAAGAUUUCCCUAGGACUUUAUGUCCUCUAAAGAGCCGUUGAAGACUACGACGUUGAUAGGUUGGAUGUGGAAGCAUAGUGAUAUGUGAAGCUGACCAAUACUAAUUGCUCGUGAGGCUUGACUAUACAACACCCAAACAGUUGG
rnacentral:rRNA from 1 species